GUGAAAAACGGAGGAUGCGCUGUGAAGGGCCCACGCCCUGGAUCUAGCUGGCGGGAAAGUGGAUAUCCGUCCCGGAGGAACUGAGAAAACCUGGGUAGGGGUAUCAUGGCAUAAAUCUAACAGGAUCUCAGUAUGGAGCCCUGGAUGAACUGCAACUCACUAUAUAAACCAGGCUGGCUUUGAAUUUAGAGAUCUGUCUGCAGGGAUGUACUGCCUUGUUUGGCUUUUUACAUGCAUACUAAGAUCUGAACUCAGGCCUUCAUGCUAACUUGACAAGUACUUUACAUUUUACCAAAUGAACCAUCUUCCCAGCCUCCGUCAUAUAUCAGGAUCGAACCAUUGGCCAGGCCGGCAUAGAUGUAAUUGUUUUCGUCAAGACACCAGCAACAGCUCCAGACAGGACGUCCAGUGUUGUAAGUCUGCACCACAGUAUUUGUAUCUAGGCUGCGGAGUUAGAAGAGAUCUUUACCACUACGGAUUAAGAAAAUCAUGUCUAUAAUGUUGAUAAUAUUUAAUAAUAAAAUCUUUCACAAAAUUGUA